CAUUAGAUGACUGAAAAUAAGUAUUGGUCUCUUAAACCAUUUUAUAGUAAUUAAUGACUACUUCUAAUG
rnacentral:tRNA from 1 species